GUUCUGUUGGGGGUGUGCCCAGGUUUCCCACUCUUUCCUCAGGAAACAAAGGAAAUUCCUUUGAACUCUUCCUCCCUCGUAACUCAUGGAACUCCACUGCCCAGACCGAGCCAAAGUAUUUGGGAUCUUGCCUUUUCCUGGGCCGCCAUUUUCCCCCGCAGACUUGACAGGCAGGUACUGAGCGAAUCCUUUAUCCCACUGGCUGCGACUGCAACUGCGACAGUACUUUCUACCUCCCGCACUCAUUCGCCUGGCAAAUCAUUGUAAUUUUUCAUAUUUCAUAGAAAUUUUUACUUUUUACAUUUCCCAAUGUUUUGUGGGAAAACAUUGGGCAAGCUCUGAGAGCUCAUUUACUAAUAGUACAAGUGCAGGAGUGCUAAUGGGGGGGGUCAACAUUUUGCCCCCUUAGGGCUCAUGAAUUUUAUCUAUGCCAUUUGUUGCAUUGUGUGCUUUGUGCUGUACAACGUUGUUCUAAAAGUCUGGUGCAAUACUUGGGUAUGUCAGGGAGUCCUAUACUAAAACUAAACACUAAACCCAACCAUAAAGCUGUCCUACUGUGCGUUAUCCCCAAAGGGCAGACUUUUCAGUGCUGGAAAUGUGAUUAGCUGAUCUGUAUAAAUCUGGCUCCCUGUUCUCUGUUCCUGCAAUUGGAGUUGGGAGCAUUAAGCACAGUUUCCC